rnacentral:rRNA from 1 species
AGGACGAACGCUGGCGGCGUGCUUAACACAUGCAAGUCGAGCGGUGAGGCCUUUCGGGGUACACGAGCGGCGAACGGGUGAGUAACACGUGGGUGAUCUGCCCUGCACUUCGGGAUAAGCCUGGGAAACUGGGUCUAAUACCGGAUAUGACCUCAGGUUGCAUGACUUGGGGUGAAAGAUUUAUCGGUGCAGGAUGGGCCCGCGGCCUAUCAGCUUGUUGGUGGGGUAAUGGCCUACCAAGGCGACGACGGGUAGCCGACCUGAGAGGGUGACCGGCACACUGGGACUGAGACACGGCCCAGACUCCGUACGGGAGGCAGCCGAAGGUGGGGAAAUUAGUUGACUAACGAAGUGGGACGAAAGCCUGGAUGCAGGCGACGCCGCGUGGAGGAUCGACGGCCGUUACGGGUUACGUAAACCUUCGUUU